CAAUUACUCCCUUCGUCCCAAAAUUCUUGUCUUAGAUUUGUCUUGAUAUAGAUGUACCUAAUACUAAAACAUGACUUGAUACAUCCGUAUUUAGACAAAUUUAGGAUAAAAUUUUUGGAACGGAGGGAGUACUUA
rfam:Triticum aestivum genome assembly, contig: Triticum_aestivum_CS42_TGACv1_scaffold_376377_5AL